rnacentral:lncRNA from 1 species
AGAAAGGGCAUGAAAAAAUAGGGGACCACCCCUUUUUUCUUCAUUUCUCCAAUCAUUGGCCAAUAAUCGAUGGCCAUAAUCUCGAGAAAGAGUGGCAGGGAGGUCAAGGAUCAUGAUGCAUGGAUGCGGCACCAUGGGUGGCAGCACUGAUGAUUGAAAAAAGGAUGGAGAAACCUCGUUCAAAAUAGAAAAAUAUAGGGUUCUUCUUUUCUUGAAUUUUUCGACAAAGUUGAUGGCCGGUGGCAAGGCUCAGGGCCAAAAGAAAAUAGGGUAGAGAGAGGAGAAAAGAUCGAGCCCUUACUUUGUCUCCGACAGUGUUUUGGCUCCAAUUCUCAAUGAGCACAAUAACGGAAGGCCGUAUCUUCAACUAAAGAAGAGAGAGAGAGAAAGAGCACUGAUAG